rnacentral:lncRNA from 1 species
AAGAGGUACCCAAAAAAAUGAUAUGGUUACACUUCAAAUCACUAAUAUAAUCUUCCUCAAUAAUCUUUUUAUGUAGGAAUUUGAAAAUGAAAAAGAAAAGAAGUAUUUUUAAAAUAUGGCCCAAAAGAAAGUGAAAAAGAAAUCUCACUUUUGAUCCAUAGUAAGACAAUAUUACUACAGUGUGUUUUACAUUCACACAAAAAUGUAAGAACAACCAACC